GACCUUUUAUUCAUCCUCAGAUUUUCAUGACUCCUACAUUCAGCCAUAGGUUGUAACCCACAGUUUAAGAAGGUACAGUUUAAUGAAGUCUGGGACUGGGGCCUGCUGGAAUUCGAAGUGCUGACGUGCCAUCCUCAGUUUUGUGAUAGUGGUGACCCAUCCCAUCAUGACCAGCUGGCUGUAACCCAGGGUUGUAGCUGGAGUGAGCAACAGAUGGUAUCUGAGGAGACCAGAAGCAGGAGUAAGAUCCCCUGAACUUGGAGAUACAGAUUGUGCCUGCGUUUUAUGUCACCAUGACACAACCUAGAGUCAUUUGGGAAGCAGAAACCUCAAUAGAGACAAUGUCCCUACCAGAUUGGCCUAUGUGCAUUUUCUUGAUAGAUGAAUUAUGUGAAUGAGUCCAGCUCACUGUGGUGUGUGCUACUCUUGGGCAGUAGGUAGUCCUGGGUGUUAUAAGAAAGCAAGUCGAGAAAGCCAAGGGCAAUCAGUCCAGUAACCAGCAUUCAUCAAUAACUUCUGCAUCACUUCCUGCCUCCUGCCCUGCCUGAGUUCCUGCCCUGAUUUCCUUGGAUGAGGAACUUCAAGUUUCAAUGCAAAAGUUUCCUCCCCAAGUUGGUCAUGGUGCUUUAGCACAGCAGUAGAAAAGUAAUUAAGACACAGGUGUUUGUGAGCUGUGCUAUGUGAUUGCUGGGAAUCGAAUCCAGGUCCUCUCGAAGAGUGGCAAGAGAACCUAACCAUUGAGCUAUCGCUCCAGCUCCAUGAUCUGAUUUUUAAAAGACAUACUAUGUUAUUUUUUUAGACUAGCAGUCUUGUAAUGAUGCUAUGUUUUGAUUCUAGUGGGACUGGAAGGGUAAUGAAUCUCUCACACCUGUGGCUGUUGAUCGUCAGGGGGACCAGUUGGUUCAGUAAGAAGAACCCAUCUUGGAGAUUUCUCUUACUGAGACACUGACAUAUUUCUUUAUUUGUAAAAUAAAAUAAAAUAAAAUAAAAAACGAUAACAAAACCCAAAAAUCUCUUUAGAUGUUAAGGGCAAAUGCAAGACCCUCAAACCCAGACUUGACUGUUCCAAAGUGCAAAUGUCCAACAUUGUUUCUAAUUGCUCUCUUGCAAUUGACCAGUGUUCAUUUCCAAGAUAAGGGAGUUUCUGUUGGGCCAGGUGGACAAAUACUCCAAAGGCUGUGGCAAGUUCCCACUUGAAUAGUGUGCAAUUGCUUUUUGACCACAAAAGUCAUUGAAGAAGCUAUGAUGUCCUGUUAUGAAGAAGCAAUGAUGGUGUGAGAGACAGGUACCCAAAAGCCAAGUUUUCAGGAAUUGUUCUGUGUCUUACAAUGUAAUUCUUGAUUGUUCCCAUUUUUCAGUUUUAUCUGCGCAUUUAAUUUACAAUAGCAGCAUUUAGUGAUUCACAUCCAGGUUCUUCAGAUAUCUACUCUGUUACCCAUCAACCUGGUGUCAUUGGGUAUCUCCCUGAAUGCCUGUCUCUUUGUCUUUGCUUUCUUACUAGUUAAACAAUGCUGUUCAUGCCUUCCUCCCCCUAGGCAAGUGUGUGGAUUAGAACCAAUGUGUGCAAAGUAUUUGGAAUUCACGAAAUGCUUUAUACUGGGAGCUGUUAUGAUUAUGCACCAGCUGGUUUUGCUAUGUUCCUGGACAAGCCUGCUUGAAACUAUGGAACUUCCAAGGGUUGGGGAUGAUCAGUGAUAAUCUGGGUCUAAAGGAAAGUAGGAUGGUAGGACCACCCCAUUCUUAUGGGAAAACAACUAUCAUUGAAAAGCUUAUGAUUUCGUGAGGGGGGUGAAAAAAGUUCCCUCCUGCUGCCCUGCUCCAUCAGCAAGGCUGUUCCGCUGAGGGCUGAACUUUUCUCUUUACUAAGCUCCUGCGUGGAAGCUCCCACCAGAAGCUUGCAUGUUUCCAAGUCCCAUUAAUACAGCUGGCAGGGGAGAAAACCUGGACUGAACCCCUAGAGAGCCUAGCUUUCUCACAACUUUAAUAUAAAAUGACAGUGCUUAUUUUGUGACAAAGCUGUCUACACUAGACCUGAAAUGUCUGUUGCAUUAAAACAAUUUCACACUCA